rnacentral:lncRNA from 1 species
AGUUUGAGGAAUAGCUGGGUUGGGGAUGGAUGUGGGCACAGAACAAGGAGUUUAUGAAAAAGACAGGAAUGGAGCCAACAGGAAGGUAGAAAAUCAAGCAGAGACUGGGAAGUUGAGGAAGCUUUCAUUCCACCAGUGGAAGAUCUGCUGCUGUUGUAUACAAUAGAGAAAGCACUGCUGCUGUUAGAGAAUGACGUGCAAGCCUCCAGUGCCAUUGGAAGAGCAUGCAUUUUCUGAGAGUCAGGCUCUACAUGUGAAGGGAGUCUGUUAUGUUUCAGUGAUGAGUCAUAUAGGAUGCUACAGAUGGUGCAGAGUGAUGCUUCAAAGAUGUGAAAAAAUACUAAUGGAUCCAAGACUGAAAAUUAACAGAACAAGGUGACUGGGGCCACCAGUGAAAAGAAUGUAAGGUCACAUAGCCUGUACCAUUUCAGGGAGGCAUUGUCUAACCUGGAGCCAUGAGCCUUUUUGAAAUAAUAAUAUUGUCGACCCCCAGUUGUAUGUGCCCAAGGAGAUGGCAAACUUGAGAAACAAGAAUAAUCCUUUCAGCUGGUUUAAAGCUGAGCCCUCACUCUUGGAAUUAAGAAACUGACAAAGGAUGCAAGUUCUUGGUUUAAGGAGCCAAUGGUGUGGUUCCCAGGGACCCUCCCAAAUACACUUCCAAUCUGUUUCUGGAGGACCUGACCUGUAACUCCUGACAAUAUGUUCUGAAUGCUGAAGGAUGGAGAUACACUUUGGAGUAAGAUUCAUAUGAACUUUCAUAAAUUCUUGGGCCAAUGGACUCAAGCCCCUCAUUCAAAGAAAACACCAGAAGAGACUUGGUGUUUUGUGAAAUGGCACAUUCCAAAAUCUCUGUCACUGAGAAAAGGAUGUAAGCUCAGGAUCAAAGCAUCGUCUUCAAAGAAGGGAGACAAGGGAGGAAUGUGUUUUGCUGUUUUGGAUUUCAAGAAAUGAAACAGAAACAAGAGCUGGUUUCUUGAUAACUUUGUUCUUCUACGCUAUGGUCUGUAGAAUGAUACAGUUUCUAGUUUAAUUGGUCUGUGACCUGCAGACCCCUGUGUAAGACUCUUCCAGCUUUGAACAUACCAAAGAAAAUUUUAAAAGAAGAGGGGAGAAAAAA